UACGCAGAUUUUUCUCGGAGGA
rnacentral:siRNA from 1 species